rnacentral:tRNA from 1 species
GCCCGAAUGGGGUAGCAUGGAUAUCCUCAGGGCUUGCGGAGCCUUGUACUCGGGUUCGAAUCCCGGUUCGGGCA